CCUACGGGUGGCUGCAGUGGGGAAUAUUGCACAAUGGGGGAAACCCUGAUGCAGCGACGCCGCGUGAGUGAAGAAGUAAUUCGUUAUGGAAAGCUCUAUCAGCAGGGAAGAAAAUGACGGUACCUGAGUAAGAAGCCCCGGCCAACUACGUGCCAGAAGCCGCGGUUAUACGGAGGGGGCAAGCGUUAUACGGAUUUACUGGGUGUAAAGGGAGCGUAGGCGGCAGUGCAAGUCUGGAGUGAAAGUCGGGGGCUCAACCCCCGGACUGCUGUGGAAACUGUACGGCUGGAGUGCAGGAGAGGUAAGUGGAAUUCCUGGUGUAGCGGUGAAAUGCGUAGAUAUUAGGAGGAACACCAGUGGCGAAGGCGGCUUACUGGACUGUAACUGACGUUGAUGCUCGAAAGCGUGGGGAGCAAACAGGAUUAGAUACCCCUGUAGUC
rnacentral:rRNA from 1 species